AUUCUGUAACUCCUUUAAAAAAAAACUAAAAAACCUCUGAAAAAGGGCUCUGACCCUCGGAGCUCCGGCCUCGUGGCCGUCCUGGCUCGUCCUAGGGUUUGGCGUGCGUGGUCUCCAUACACUUAACGAGCCGCCACCAAAGCCACCGUAUACGAUGGUUAGGGUUUCAAAAACCCUCCAUUUUCUUUGCCGAUUCUCAGGUACUUGCGAAAAAUCCGGCAAUGGCAAAGGUUUGACGAUGGUCUACUAGUGGCGUUGAUCUCGGCGUGACUUGGGGCCUGGAAUCAUGGCCUUGACGGGGUAGCAGGAGCUGAAGAGUCAUGAGGCCUGGCUUCUGGAACCUUCUGUUUGUGGCGCGAGGAGAAAGAGGGCAGAAACCCUAGGGUUUCCUGCCUGGGUCUGCAGAUGUUUGGGCCAAUUGGGCCUCUGGAAAUUUUGGGUUUGUAAUGGGUAGAGGUGUUUUGGGCUACCAGUCUGUAACGGGUCCAUUGCAACUGUUUGGGACUUAGUUUAGGCUGGGAUAGUCUAGUAAAAUUUGGUUGUUGGGUCUGUGUAUUUAGGCUUUGUAAAAAAACUUUUAUGGACUGUUUAAAUUAAAUAAAUAAA